rnacentral:rRNA from 1 species
CCUACGGGUGGCAGCAGUGAGGAAUAUUGGUCAAUGGACGCAAGUCUGAACCAGCCAUGUCGCGUGCGGGAAUACGGCCCUACGAGUUGUAAACCGCUUUUGCCCGGGGGUCAAUCCCUCCACGUUUAUAUGUGUGAAAGUACCCUACGAAUAAGGCUCGGCUAACUCCGUUCCCGCCGCCGCGGUAAUACGGAGAGUUCAAGGGUUAUCCGGAUUUAUUGGGUUUAAGGGGUGCGUAGGCGGUUGAUUAAGUUCGCGGGAAAACCCCGGGGUCAAACCCCGCACUGCCGUUGAUACUGGCGGCCUAGAGUGUAGGUGAGGUAGGCGGAAUGCGUGGUGUAGCGGUGAAAUGCAUAGAGAUCACGCAGAACACCGAUUGCGAAGGCAGCUUACCGGACUACGACUGACGUUGAGGCACGAAAGCGUGGGGAGCAAACAGGAUUAGAUACCCCUGUAGUC